AGCGAACGCUGGCGGCAUGCUUAACACAUGCAAGUCGAGCGGGCAUAGCAAUAUGUCAGCGGCAGACGGGUGUGUAACGCGUGGGAACGUACCUUUUGGUUCGGAACAACACAGGGAAACUUGUGCUAAUACCGGAUAAGCCCUUACGGGGAAAGAUUUAUCGCCGAAAGAUCGGCCCGCGUCUGAUUAGCUAGUUGGUGAGGUAAUGGCUCACCAAGGCGACGAUCAGUAGCUGGUCUGAGAGGAUGAUCAGCCACAUUGGGACUGAGACACGGCCCAAACUCCUACGGGAGGCAGCAGUGGGGAAUAUUGGACAAUGGGCGCAAGCCUGAUCCAGCCAUGCCGCGUGAGUGAUGAAGGCCCUAGGGUUGUAAAGCUCUUUUGUGCGGGAAGAUAAGGACGGUACCGCAAGAAUAAACCCCGGCUAACUUCGU
rnacentral:rRNA from 1 species